rnacentral:lncRNA from 1 species
AGAGAGAGAGAGAGAGAGAGAGAGAGAGAGAGAGAGAGAGAGAGAAUGUGUGUCUUCGCAGUGGAGAAUGCUGUAAGGGGGAUUAUUUCAACCACUAAUGAUAGUAGUAACAACUUUAUGUAGCAAUUUGCAGUUUACAAAAUACAUUUAUAUAUGUCAUCUUACUUAAUCUUCCUAGCAGUGGUCCUCACUCGUCACUCCUUAGUCUCCUUUGUUGGUUACUCCACUUUAUGUAGACAUUUUAACAUUGGAGUGCUCUGAGGUUCAUUUCUUUGUUCUCAUCUUGGGGUUUACACUUACUCCCUUGGUUAUUUCAUUCAGUUUCAUGGCUGAAAAUAGCAUCUAUGUACCAUAAUUUUUUAAAGCUGCGUCUCUAUUUCAGGAAGGUCUUUUGAAUUCCAGAUUUGUAGAAAAAGAUAUAAGUCAGUACUGCCUACUUGACAUCUCUACCAAGACGUCUAAUAAACUUUAACUAACACAUCCAAAGCUGUGAUCUCUAUCUCUUCACAUCCUCUUAAAUAUGAAGCCCAUCUCACCUGUAGCCUUUACCACCUGAGAUAGUGGCGACUCCACCAUUCCAGUCACUCUUUAAUAUGUUGCAGUGAUAGACAAGCCUUCUUCCAGUCUGGAUCAUCUAAGGACAUGUGCUGGCACAGCACAAGCCUACAGGUUUGCAGACAUCAAACAUUGUAUAAAGAGAACACAGUGCACCUACUCAAAGUGAGUCACUAUUAGAUAAAUUUUGAAAACAACAUGGGAUUAUUGAUACUAUAAAUGCAUUUACUAUUUGAAAAACAUCAACAGGGUCUUUUAGAGAUGCCUCAAACUCACCGGAAUAUUGCAUAAGAAAUUCAGAGUAAACAAGCACAUUUGUAAGAAAAGCUAAGAGAAGUUAAAUAUAGGUAAAUGUGUGUUGAAAGCCAAGGCAUGAUUUAAGUUUAUCUAUUAUCAAGAGACAUGUAUUUACAUCAAGUAGUAAAAUUACAUUACUGAAAAGAUAAGAAAAGCAACAACCUUAUCUAAUUAAGAGCCUCUAGCAUUACUGGGACUCCUAAUUCUCUCCAGUCUACUUGUAUCUGCUCUCAAACAGAUGUGUAUUUCACUGAGCUCUCUGCAAAUGUGAUAAUGUUAUGCAACAAGGUAACAAACCUUAGAGUCAUCCUUGACUCAUUUCUUUUUCUCAUGCCAUCAUGUAUUCAGUGGAUCUUCUUGGAUCUACCUUCAGUAUAUAUGAGAAUCCCCCACCUUUCUUAUCACCUCCAUUACUAUCACUCCAGUUGGAGCUAUCAGCAUCUCUCACUUGGAUUUCUGCAACUGGCAUCUGAUUGGUCUUCUUGUUUCCACUUUUGCCCAUCCAUUAUCAAUGCAGCAGCUGACUGAUUUUUAUUUUUAAUAAAAUGUAUUCUUCUAUUUUUUUUUUUUCUUGUCCUUUUAGGGCUGCACCUGUGGCAUAUGGAGGUUCCCAGGCUAGGGUCCAGUUGGAGCUGUAGCUGCUGCCUAUGCCACAACCACAGCAACCCAGGAUCUGAGCCGUGUCUGUGACGUACAUCACAGCUCAUGGCAACACUAGAUCCUUAACUCACUGAGCGAGGCCAGGAAUCAAACCCCUGUCCUCAUGUGUGCUAGUUGGGUUCGUUAAUUGCUGAACUAUGACAGGAACACCCUAUUCUUCUAUUCUUCUGUUCAACAUUCUGCAAGGGGUUUCCAUUUCUACCAGCAUAGCAGCCAAAUAUCUACAAUGGCAAAUAAGAUCCUCAUGUGAGCUGGCCUUUGUUACCUGCCUGACCUCACCUUCAGUCUCUUUCCUUUUUCUCUCUGCUCCAGCCACAAUGGGCUUCCUGAUCCACGAAUAGAUGUACCAGGCACACCAGGUACUUGUUAUUCAUGCGAUCCACUGUGUAGAAUGUUUUUCUCCCCUAAAGAAGUUUGCUUCUUUAAGUACCUUUUAUGUGUUGUAGGUACAGGUUUCUUUUAAAUACCUCUGGAUUUCUCUUUAUGUUCUUUAUAAACUUGAGUGAAGGGAAAAUAUAGGCAUAUAAGACUAAUAAUGAAGAAUGUAAAUUUCUCUUCAUCCUUUUGGUUCGAAUAGAAAGACAUUUAAGUAGAACUCUGCUGAUCCUACUGAGUAAUGGAUGGUUAAGGAUAUCAUCCUUAAUGACUAAUUAUGUAAAAUAUGACUAGUCCUCAUCAACAUUUUAAUUUCUCUUCUUCAUCCAGGGCUAUGGGAGGAUUACAGUUUCAUGCCUUACUGAAGUUUGGUUGUCACCGUAUAACUUACUGUGGCCAUAUGAGAAGGUGUUAACAGAUAUACUCUUUGUCUAUCUAAGAGCCAGCGUGCAGUUAUCCAUGCUUUCUUCUCCGUCAUGAACCCUGAGUUCAUGAAGAGAUGGCUGUAUCACAAGAUGGUUCAAUUCUCAUUCUCUGAACUGUUUCAGUAACUAUGAGGACCAGAAUCUCUACUGAAUCAUAUCAGACAGAUUUUUAAGUUGUUAUUACAGCCUGGCCUAACUUUUUCUUGAAUGCUAUACCAUCGUUUUAAUUCAUUUAUCGUGUUUACCAGGGUUAUAAUGAAGAGUUUAGAAAACUAACAGGAAGUAAUGAGGAAAAUAUUUCAUUCAGUUAAUAUGUAUUAAUGUCUACUUUCUAGAUACUGGAAUAUAGUGAUAAAUGAAAUUUCUUGUCUUCAUAGAGCUAACAGUCUAGGAGAGGUUGGGGUCAGGUGUCGGGUAGAGGGAAUUAUAGGACAAACCUCCUGCCAUAAGGGAAACCCAGGUCAGUGUGAUGAGGAUGAAGGACCGAGGCGUGCAGGACCAAGUAGGAGAUGAUGUCAAAAUAAGUUAUGACCAAUUUAAGGUGAGAGGUCAUCAGAGGACCUUUAGAACUCAGUCCUGGGAAGUGGGAAAAGUGGGUACUGUGAAGUUGUGGAAGAGAGCAGGCAUCCAGGUGAAGAAUUCAAGAGAAUAGUCAACUUGAAGUCCCCUAUGUAGACUGAAUAGAGUGAGAUAGGCUGCAGGCUGCCUUAGAGAUGGAGGAUGAAGUGAAUGAGAUUGAGAGCAAGUCCUCUGCAGUGGUGCAGCAUGGGAGUAGGAAAAGGGAGACUACCUGAAAGUGACUGGGAUUUGGUAGCGGAGCAGCAGAAUUGUAUUUUCCAAACUCUACUAGAUCCCAGGACCAGGGCUGGGGAAUUCCCACUUAUUCUACUUCACUGAAGCCAGGAAAGGGCUAGGAUGCUUUUAGAAAGCUGGAACUUUCUUCUAAUACUUAGAAUAGACCUAGGGAUACAUAGGUACUAAAAGGUGGUAGAAGAAACAUGGGCAGUUCUUUGGAGAGAGAAGUUUAUCUUUCCUUUUGCAUAGGGAAAAACAGGGAAAUUAUAAUAAAUAUGUCACCACAGAGAAAGGAAGAACAGAAACCAGAAAUAAUGAUUUUGAUAUGGGCUCUCUCAGAUUCCUGGUUAUAUGUAAUAUAUAAAGAUAAACUACCACCAAGAUGCUUUGACAGAAAGAAAUGUUCUAACAGACAUGAAAGAAAUGUUUAGUAGAAUUAAUUGGAGUGAAGAUGGAGCAGAUGUUAACAAUGAGAAUUUUAUUAAGAUAUAGAUGCGUAUACUGAAGAGCAUUUACACUGAAUGAAUGAAAACAAUGCCAAUUAAAGCUGUUUCAGGCAUAUUAGAAUUCAUUGAAUUAAACUGAUUUUUCUACUCAUUAUGAAUAGAGAUUUAAUCCCUCACUUGUUCAUCUUCUUCAAACUCAAAGCAGAGUUAUUCAUAAAGAAAGAAGAAGAACUGAGAGUAGUGGGAUUAUGCAAAGAAUGGACUAGAAGGAGUGAGGUAUAAUGGAGAGAUGUAAGCCUAUAAUUAAUGGCACUGAGAAUGGCUGAUGUCAGGCAAUUACUAUACAAUAGUACUUUAUUAUUUCAAAUUCGUCUAAAGAGAGCUUGAAAGUACCCAUCAGCAUCUCUUGUUAGUAAAUAGGUUAACUGAUCCACAAAUUUCACGUGUCAUGAUUUCAGUGGGAAAUAACUUCAGGAUGGAGAUUGAAGCUAUAGAGCCUUGCUUCUCCCCUAGGCUUUUAAUUGUGAGGCAUUGUUCUUCACCCUCCUUUACCUCAACUUCAACAGCAUUCAGACAAAUUAGUUAAUUAUAUGGGUUAGUAGGUCAUCAAAACAUGUAUAAUUGAACAAACCAUAUGCAAAUCAAGGCUAAAUUAUUUGUAAUUAAAUAAUGAUUGCAAAAUUGGAUUCUUUAGUGGCACCCAUUAACAAAGGUCUAUUAAAUACUUAAAUUUGGAAAAAUAAUUUGCUUUCUGGAAGCUUGGGGUUAGUAGAUGCAAAUUAUUAUAUUUAGGAUGUGUAGACAACAAGGUCCUACUGUUUAGCAGAGAGAACUGUAUCCAAUCUCCUGGGAUAGACCAUGAUGGAAAACAAUAUUUUUAAAAAAGAAUAUGAAAAAAAGAAUUUUCUUUCUAAAGUAGUAUCACUUUCUGCCCAAUUUUAUAUCUCAGUAACUGAUACUUAUCUUCCAUACUUAGCUUUUCCCAAACAUUUUCCCUAAGUUCCUCUAUACCACCAUCACACAAAAGAUUAAACUUUUUCUUGUGUGCUAGUGACAGCUCUGCUUCAGCAGUUUUCACUUUGAUUCAUACAACUUCAUUUCUUUGUCUCUAUUCCUAUACUGGAAAUCCUUUAAGGAUGAAUUGUAACUUAGGCAUCUCUUUUUCUCUAGGGUUUGGUAGACUGCAUGGUAUUAGUGUGUCUUCAAAAUUUUAUUGCUUAAAAAAGGAAUGAAUUAAUGAGAUAUAAAGAAUUAAAAACUUCAGCAUUUGGGGAACUAAAAAAGAGAUUUAUGCCAUGUAAAUCUCAUGUAAAAUGAAUUAUUCUAGUAUCAAAUUGUGUCCUAGGAUGACACUAAUAUAGAAGAAGGAUUUGCAGUGAGUUUCAUUCUGUGGCUCUAUAGAAUCUUAGGAAAUUCUUUUAACUACUUUAUCUGCUAAAAAAGGAUGAUAAUACCUAUCACUUAUUCUUCUUAUCUGCUUUAGUUUUGCUUUGUGUUUAAGAGAAUUGAAUAAUUAUGUGUUUGUGUGAGUGUAUGUGUUCUGUGUGUGUUUGUAUUCUGAUACACAUAGUGUGGUAAACAUUUAAGUUUCUAUUGAUACAUUAAAAGUGGUCCUCUAUAAGAUAAGAUUAGAAAAGGCAAAUUCAUCAAUUUCAAGGACCCCCCCUAUUUAAUGUCAGGAUUAAGUGUAUGAAUAGUACAUACAUUUUACUAUUAAUUUUAAACUGAAUAAAAUUUUUUUUCUUGUAGGGUACUGUUACUUUCAGUAAGCUUGAGAUGUUGAUGAGAAAGACAGAAAAUUCUGUUUUUUUUUUUCUUUUUAAAAAUCUGGUAUACUAGGUUUAUUGCAAUGAUUAGACAUAAGAGAGGUAUAUACUCAAUCAAAUAAACCAAUUUUUUUAUGUUCUCCUUCAAAAUAAUUCAAAUGUUUACAUUUUUAUAUAAUUGGACUCAGUACAAAUUUAAUUUUGAAUACUGUUUCUUUCACUUACAUUAUAUCUUGAACAUUUUCUCAUGUUGCUACAUGAUUUCCUAAUAACAUUUAUCUCAAGUAUAUUACCAUAUUUCAUUUAAAUAUUUCACUAACUCUGCAUAUUUUUAUUGUUGCUAAAUGUGGUAUUAUAAAUUAUAGGGCAAGGGGCAUCUUUCCAUAAAUAGGUUUUCCUUCUUUGGGAUUAUUUCUUUGGAUUAAAUUUCUAGCAAAGGGAUAAUUAAAUCACUGGGCUAAGUUUAUCUCCAAAUAUAUCUAGAGAGGAAAUGACAAAUAUUUUCCUUCUUAAUAAAGAAUUCUUCUGUUGAGAAUCAAAAUCCUGAAGCUAAGUUAAAUUAAUGACCACUAAUAAUUUGUGAUAUUUCAUGAAUAAUCAAAACCAUUAAGC